CAAAGUAAACAUUUAUUACACAGAAAAUAGGUGGAGCAAGUGAUAAUAAUAGUAAAAUGUACAUUUUACUGUUAUCACUUGCUCCACCUAUUUUCUGUGUAAUAUAUGUCAUUUUAUG